UACGGAGGGUGCAAGCGUUAUCCGGAAUCACUGGGCGUAAAGGGCGCGUAGGCGGCCUGUUAAGUCCGAUGUUAAAGACUGGGGCUCAACCCCAGCAUUGCGUUGGAUACUGGCAGGCUUGACGGUUGGAGAGGCGAGUGGAAUUACCAGUGUAGCGGUGAAAUGCGUAGAUACUGGUAGGAACACCCAUUGCGAAGGCAGCUCGCUGGACAACACGUGACGCUGAGGCGCGAAAGUGUGGGGAGCAAACCGGAUUAGAUACCCGUGUA
rnacentral:rRNA from 1 species